GUUUGUAACUGACAAACAAGGCGUUGCAAACAGCCUCAAGGCGAAAAUUGGAGCUGUGUCCGUUUGUCUUAGGUAGUCUGAUCACAGUUGCACUAAUGAAAUUUUUGCAUCAUUGUGGCUCUAGCAAACACAGUGAAUUUGUGGUUCAUACCGUAGCUUACAGGAAAUGGAGAAGGUACAUGAAUUUUUAUGAAAUCGAAGCUGAGGUGGAAAAGGAUUGGCUGGAAGAAGAAAUGAAGGCGCAGCGCCUUCAUUGUGGCAAAACACAAGUUUUGGCAAGGCACUUGACAGCUGAAACAGACAGUGAUGAAUAAUCCAGAGAGGCCUAGAAAACAGAAACAGAAGCCACCUGAGAACAGGAUAAAAAUAAUGCCUUGCCGAAAUAUUACAAGAUGAAAUAUGAAAGUAAUUUGCUUUCGUGUGGCCAUUUGAUAAGGUCAUGUCCUCUCUGCUUCAUUUAAUACACCAGUGGAAAAUAAAUCUGCAAAGAAGUAAAGCAGGAGCUGCAGCUAGUGAAAAACUGCCCAGUCCCACACACUGGAUUUUCAAAUUUUCAAAUACGCUACCCUCAUACACCCUUGAAAUUCCUGUAACAGCACCCAUAUCCAAAAACGCAGUAUGAAGUCUCAUAGCAUAACCAGGGCGGUCUCAUGCCACUUGGUGUGGGAAAUUAAUUGUCCAUUUUUACAGUAGCAGUUCAAGGUAAUUAUGAAGUGAAUGCAAUUCUUUUUAUGUGGGCUACAUGGAGGAAGUCUGGUCACCACUGGAGCCAGCCGACGCUGCUUCACCUUGUGUACAGCCACCUGCUUCCGUUAGUUUGAUUUCUGUGUGUGUGAAAUCUCGUUGUGGAAUCCUUUGAGGCUUUAGAAGCUGAAACAAAGAUAAGGAACCUUGAGACACAUAAAGAACAGAAGCACGUCGUCAUGGGAAAGGAAAAUAUAAUCCGAGGAAACCAAGGCUUCGGCAGCAGCCGAGCGCAGGCGGAGGCUCGCGCGCGGGACGGGCCGAGAGCAGAAACGUCCCAACUAAACGGAGCGGCUGGGUUUGCCCGGGUGAACGCCGCAGGAGCGAGAGCCUUCUUACCAGGUCGAGACUUCAUUAAAGAAUGGAGUUCCACGCUGCUUGGAAAUCGUUUUAAGGUAUCCCUUUGCCUUAAGAAGCUGUGACAUCCCCAGGUGCCAGCCCUCUACUACAGCACACGCGGCCGUGACAGCGGGAGGAGCAGCAGCCCUGAGAGUGCUCCCCAGUGCCGUGCGCAGCUCACAGGCUCCUGUGCUGCGUGCUGAGCUCCGGCAUCUAAAUCAAGAUUCUGUGGGGAGAAGGCAAAAGAAGCUUUUAAAUCAGCAGCAGGGAGCAGGAAAAAAAAAUCCUUCAUGUGGCCCAGGUUAAACUAGCUGGCCCUUGUACCUGGGGUAGUAGUUUUUGCCUUACCUCUCUUUGCCUCUGCAAAAUCCAACGCCCACCAAGACUCCACAAAUAAAGUUGUUAAUACU
rnacentral:lncRNA from 1 species